CCCAAAGCUAAGAUUUUUUUUUUUUUUUUUUACUCUACAGUAAUGGCGAGCACUUUGGCUAAACCCUGAAGGUUUCCGCAUGUGAAGAAAGUGCCCUUCUGGUCGUGGAGGGACUGUGGAGCCAAGAGACCCUGGAGGCGUUCUUCCUGUAUUCCUCCUCCACGGAGAAAAAGUCAUCAAAGAAUUGAAGCUGUAAACUUCCACAGACAGCAAAAUAUUUUUCGACCAGAAGAUGAUCUGUAGUGGGGUAAUGCCCUUU